CACGGAGUUAGCCGGGGCUUCUUCUGCUGGUACAGUCGUUAUCUUCCCAGCUGAAAGAUCUUUACAACCCUAAGGCCUUCAUCGAUCACGCGGCAUGGCUAGAUCAGGCUUGCGCCCAUUGUCUAAGAUUCCCCACUGCUGCCUCCCGUAGGAGUCUGGGCCGUGUCUCAGUCCCAGUGUGGCUGAUCAUCCUCUCAAACCAGCUAUGGAUCGUCGGCUUGGUGAGCCGUUACCUCACCAACUACCUAAUCCAACGCGGGCCGAUCUCUUGCCGAUAAAACUCUUUCCCCCGUAGGGCACAUACGGUAUUACCCCCAGUUUCCCGAGGCUAUUCCGUAGCAAGAGGCACGUUCCCACGCGUUACUCACCCGUCCGCCGCUAGGUCCGAAGACCUCGCUCGACUUGCAUGUGUUAGGCCUGCCGCCAGCGUCGUUCUGAGCCAGGAUCAAACUC
rnacentral:rRNA from 1 species